AUUGAACGCUGGCGGCAGGCCUAACACAUGCAAGUCGAGCGGAUGAAGGGAGCUUGCUCCUGGAUUCAGCGGCGGACGGGUGAGUAAUGCCUAGGAAUCUGCCUGGUAGUGGGGGAUAACGUCCGGAAACGGGCGCUAAUACCGCAUACGUCCUGAGGGAGAAAGUGGGGGAUCUUCGGACCUCACGCUAUCAGAUGAGCCUAGGUCGGAUUAGCUAGUUGGUGGGGUAAGGGCCUACCAAGGCGACGAUCCGUAACUGGUCUGAGAGGAUGAUCAGUCACACUGGAACUGAGACACGGUCCAGACUCCUACGGGAGGCAGCAGUGGGGAAUAUUGGACAAUGGGCGAAAGCCUGAUCCAGCCAUGCCGCGUGUGUGAAGAAGGUCUUCGGAUUGUAAAGUACUUUAAGUUGGGAGGAAGGGCAGUAAGUUAAUACCUUGCUGUUUUGACGUUACCAACAGAAUAAGCACCGGCUAACUUCGUG
rnacentral:rRNA from 1 species